rnacentral:rRNA from 1 species
GACGAACGCUGGCGGUGUGCCUAACACAUGCAAGUCGAACGGAAACGCCCUGCGAUUUUGCGGUGCUCGAUGGGCGAUCGGGGGAGUAACACGUGAGUAACCGGCUCUUGACUUUGGGAGAGCUUCAGGAAACUGGGGUUAAUACCGUAUAGGAGCCCCCGCUCCGGUGUGAGGGGUGGAAAUUCUCGGCGGGUGGGGUUGGACUCGCGGCUUAUCAGCUUGCUGGUGGGGGAGUGGCUUACCGAGGCUGUGACGGGUAGCCGGCCUGAGAGGGUGACAGGCGACCUUGAGACUGAGAUGCGGCCGAGAUUCGUACGGGAGGCAGCAGUGGGGAAUAUUGCACAAUGGGCGGAAGCCUGAUGCAGCAACGCCGCGUGCUGGAUGACGGCCUUGGGGUUGAAAACCGCCUUCGCCUGUGACCAAGCCUGUGUGACGGUAAUCGGUAGAGAAGCAACCGCUAACUAUCUG